rnacentral:rRNA from 1 species
CCUACGGGUGGCUGCAGUGAGGAAUAUUGGUCAAUGGGCGCGAGCCUGAACCAGCCAAGUAGCGUGAAGGAUGACUGCCCUACGGGUUGUAAACUUCUUUUAUCAAGGAAUAAAGUGAGCCACGUGUGCCUUUUUGUAUGUACUUUAUGAAUAAGCAUCCGCUAACUCCGUGCCAGCAGCCGCGGUAAUACGGAGGAUCCGAGCGGUAUCCGGCUUUAUUGGGUUUAAAGGGGGCGUAGAUGGGUUGUUAAGUCAGUUGUGAAAGUUGGUGGCUUAACCGUAAAGUUGCAAUUGAUACUGGCAGCCUUGAGUGGGGGUGAGGUAGGCGGAAUGCGUGGUGUAGCGGUGAAAUGCAUAGAUAUCACGAAGAACUCCGAUUGCGAAGGCAGCUUACUAGACUGCGACUGACACUGAAGCACGAAAGCGUGGGUAUCGAACAGGAUUAGAUACCCCUGUAGUC